GAUCAUGGCUCAGGACGAACGCUGGCGGCGUGCUUAACACAUGCAAGUCGAACGAAGAGCGAUGGAAGCUUGCUUCUAUCAAUCUUAGUGGCGAACGGGUGAGUAACGCGUAAUCAACCUGCCCUUCAGAGGGGGGACGAACAGUUGGAAACGACUGCUAAUACCGCAUACGAUCCAACCUCGGCGAUCGAGGAUGGAUGAAAGGUGGCCUCUUAUUUAUAAGCUAAUCACUGAAGGG
rnacentral:rRNA from 1 species